rnacentral:rRNA from 1 species
GAGUUGUAAUUUGUAGAGGAUGCUUUUGGUUAGGUGCCUUCUGAGUUCCCUGGAACGGGACGCCAGAGAGGGUGAGAGCCCCGUACGGUUGGACACCGAGCCUCUAUAUAGCUCCUUCGACGAGUCGAGUAGUUUGGGAAUGCUGCUCUAAAUGGGAGGUAAAUUUCUUCUAAAGCUAAAUACCGGCCAGAGACCGAUAGCGCACAAGUAGAGUGAUCGAAAGAUGAAAAGUACUUUGAAAAGAGGGUUAAAUAGCACGUGAAAUUGUUGAAAGGGAAGCGUUUGCGACCAGACUUUUUCCAGGCGGAUCAUCCGGUGUUCUCACCGGUGCACUUCGCCUGGUUUAGGCCAGCAUCGGUUCUCUUAGGGGGAUAAAGGCCUGGGGAACGUAGCUCCUUCGGGAGUGU